CCUACGGGAGGCAGCAGUAGGGAAUAUUGCUCAAUGGGGGAAACCCUGAAGCAGCAACUCCGCGUGGAGGAUGAAUGUUUUAGGAUUGUAAACUCCUUUUGUUAGAGAAGAUUAUGACGGUAUCUAACGAAUAAGCACCGUCUAACUCCGGGCCAGCAGCCGCGGUAAUAAGGAGGGUGCAAGCGUUACUCGGAAUGACUGGGCGUAAAGAGUGCGUAGGCGGGGUAAUAAGUCAGAUGUGAAAUUCUGUAGGUUAACUACAGAACUGCAUUUGAAACUGUUACUCUUGAGUGUGGGAGAGGUAGGUGGAAUGCUUGGGGUAGGGGUGAAAUCCGGAGAGAUCAAGAAGAAUUCGGAUUGCGAAGGGGACCUGCUGGAACAUUACUGACGCUGAUGCACGAAAGCGUGGGGAGCAAACAGGAUUAGAUACCCCAGUAGUC
rnacentral:rRNA from 1 species